AUGAACGAUCAGCAAGUGGACUGCGCCUUGGACCUGAUGAGGCGCCUGCCUCCACACCAGAUCUGAUUGACCUGGUCCCCAGUCUGUGUGAAGAUCUCCUGUCUGUUGACCAGCCCCUGAAAAUUGUCAGAGACAAGGUGGUGGGCAAAGAUUACGUUUUGUGUGACUACAACAGAGACGGGGACUCCUAUAGGUCACUGUGGAGUAACAAGUAUGAUCCUCCUUUGGAAGAUGGGGCCAUGCCAUCUGCUCGGCUCAGAAAGCUGGAGGUAGAGGCCAACAAUGCCUUCGACCAAUACCGAGACCUGUAUUUUGAAGGUGGUGUCUACCUCUGGGAUCUUGAUCAUGGCUUUGCUGGAGUGAUCCUCAUAAAGAAGGCUGGAGAUGGAUCAAAGAAGAUCAAAGGCUGCUGGGACUCCAUCUACAUGGUAGAAGUGCAGGAGAAGUCCAGCAGCCACACAGCCCAUUACAAGUUGACCUCCACGGUGAUGCUAUAGCUGCAAACCAACAAAUCCGGCUCGGGCACCAUGAACCUGGGAGGCAGCCUAACCAGACAGAUGGAGAAAGACAAAACUGUGAAUGACUGUUCCCCACACAUAGCCAACAUCGGGCGCCUAGUGGAGGACAUGGAAAACAAAAUCUGAAGCACGCUGAAUGAGAUCUACUUUGGAAAGACAAUGGACAUCGUCAAUGGGCUGAGAUCUGUGCAGACGUUUGCAGACAAAUCAAAGCAAGAAGCGCUUAAGAACAACCUGGUGGAGGCCUUGAAGAGGAAGCAGCAGUGUUAAGACCUCCGCUUCUGCUAACCGGACACGCCAUACUCAUUAGGUUCCUUUCUUUAG